UGCCUCCUUACUGUGCAGACACUGCUGCAAUCCAGCUGCCCCGCCUCCCUAAGAAUCCAGAUACAGCUGUAUCUGAGAGAAAACACCACUGAGCUAAGCCAGCUCACCGGGCUCACAUACUUAGUCUAACUUCAAUUUAACAGUAACCAACAGAGCCUGACUGAGACUUUGGACUAAGUGGUCAUACUCUCCCUGGCAUUGAACUCCAUUAAUCGCCAUUGUGUUUGGUCUUCCCUGCCCACAUUCACCACCUAUUUUAGACAGCACAUGACUCUGACUCACGAAAAAAAAAGGAGUGAAGCCUGCACAAAAGGCUUGAAAGCGUGGCUCACACCCACUCCCUUGAGCAAGAUCCCUGAAACACUCGUGUCUCAGCAUCCAAGGGUCCUGAGUGGCAGUGCCUGCAAGAGCAUACAUGUGAAGCAGCAAAAUCUGAAACGGAAACUGGAAACUCACAGAGCCUGGGAGCCACAGCAGAUGCUGAGGACUCUGGGCUAUUCGCAUGAACUUAUGAAAAGGAAUUCCUUGUCCAGUGAGUCCCCUGGGGAGUCUGCUGGAGGUUGUUCGCUUAUUCUGAGCACCAAGUGAGUGUAGAGCAGGUCCUCUGCUGCUCCGGAUGAAACUAUCAGGGACUACACCCAUGUGUAAGUCUGGAAGUCUGAAAAGCCUCAAAUGUACCUGAAGUCUGGCCUCUAUGCUGUCAGUGUGCUCCCAUUUAAACAGCUACAGUUUCUGUGUAUCUUUCUCUGGAAGGCCCACUCAUUUUAAAAUGUAAAACUGCCCAGUUCUUAGAUGUGGGUGUUAUACCCAGUUCGUGAGCCCCCAAAAGAUCUCCAGGAAUUGACUCCGUUGCAAAACACAUGAGGGUCUUUUUAUUGUAAAUUACAAGCUGCAGCUUGGGCCUACACAGCCCCACUGCCAAAGCGGUGGGAGCUGAGCGCUCCGCCCCAGGUUAGUUGGGUGAUUUAUAGAUUCUGGUCCAUCCCAGCAUGCCCAAGGCAGGGGCAAUUCCUGCCUGGCAAGCAUCUAUUGGUCAAGAUGCUACAUUUUGAAUCGAUUGGCUAUAGGAAGGUUCCCAGACCAUUAAUGACCAGGUGUCUCUCCCUAGGGGAUGGUCCAGUUUCCUAGCAACUGUAUCUCUAGUGGGUGGGGAAAAAACGCAGUGAGGUAGCUCUCCCCUCAGGGAAUUUACCUACUCUACAUAGUCUUAACGAUCGCUGCUUAUCUUUUGGUCUCUCAUGGGCAACUAUUUCAAAUUUAAUCCUCAUAGGCCAAGCAAUAUGUCUUGUUUGUGGCUGGUUUGAUGCAACUUGUGCCUUAUGUGUGGACAUAUUCCACACCUCUGUUUCCUUAUGAUCCUCAACCAAUUGGCAAGUUCUGUCACCUGUCUGAGUCCUGAAUUCCACGAGAAUAAUUCUGUAGAUUUCUUGCUUGUGAAGAUGCCACCUUGGUCCAAUGGCUGGGUGGGUGGGAUUACGGUUUCUUUCUGGACAUUGUAGUCAAAUAAGAAGGUGUGAACAAUAUCCUGAGGGUUUUCUACAAGUAGGCAGACAGGUUUUGGUCCCUCUCUGUAUAUGUCUUAAGUUGA
rnacentral:lncRNA from 1 species